GAUCAACGCUGGCGGCGUGCCUAAUGCAUGCAAGUCGAACGGGGUUCACUUCGGUGAACUUACGUGGCGGACGGGUGAGGAGCACGUGGGCAACCUGCCCUUUGGUGGAGGAUAACCGCUGGAAACAGUGGGUAAUACUGCAUGAGACAUUCUGACGAGUGGGUUGGAAUGGGAAAGCCGAGAGGCGCCGAAGGAGGGGCCUGCGUCCGAUUAGCUAGACGGUGGGGUAACGGCCUACCGUGGCAGUGAUCGGUAGCUGGUUUGAGAGGAUGAUCAGCCACACGGGGACUGAGACACGGCCCCG
rnacentral:rRNA from 1 species